rnacentral:lncRNA from 1 species
CUUUCAGCUUAAGCAGCAUGUUUUGAAGAAGGCCUAGGAUCACUGUCACUGAUCGAAAGAGCCCUGCUUCACAGUUCCUGAGAAACUCUUGGGUGCAGUGUCUAACAGCCAACCUUUGUGUUUGCUAGUGCUGGGAUGGAGCCCAGGGCUUGACAUAGGCUGGGCACACACUUACCUAUGAGCCACACCCUAGCCUGAUGUGACCCAUCUUUGCAGGACCAGUCCGCCCCUUGGACAUCUCAGAAAGUUCUUCAGGACGUGGGUAAUGUGCAAAAUUUGGCC